GCACUCACUAGUGUACUCGCGAAGGGUGCGGAGCACCCUAACUCGCACCUGCACUCGCGCGCGCGCGUGGCGUGGGCGAUGAGGCGCAAUGUGGCGCUUUGAUGGCGCACUUCGCACGCUCGCAUCACCGCGAGCCGCUUGAGAGCCGCCUUUGUAUUUUUGACCGCGUUGCGCGUGGUGAAGCACAAGGGUUGCAAGGACCAAGUGGUUGGUGAUGUGGGAUGCAUGCGCAUGACCCUGGUGGGUCCGCGCGCAGUGGCGCGUGACGUGGCAGUCAUGCGCGUACGCGCGCGAGUACACAUGAAGGCGCGCAGUUGCCAAGUGGGAUGCAGGCGCGCAUGGACCUGAGUGAGUAGCGCGCAUGGACCUGAGUGAGUAGGGCGCACGCGCGCAUGGCAGUGAGCCAAGUGGAUGCACCGCGCAUGCGGGUGCAAACCUGCGCGCGCGCCAGUGUGUCUUGCGCGCGCGCGCGCGGAAGCUUCCUGCUGCAG
rnacentral:lncRNA from 1 species